GCCUCCUUAGCUCAGGGGUAGAGCAGCUCCCUCGUAAAGAGCAGGUCGGCGGUUCAAAUCCGCCAGGGGGCU
rnacentral:tRNA from 9 species